AAAUACCUGUUAGAUGAUAUAUAGGACAAGUGUUUGGUUUAUAUAAAUACCAGUUUUAUGAUAUAUAGGAUAAGAUAAUGGUAUAUAUAAAUACCAGUUAUAUAUAGGAUAAUUGAAUGGUCUAUAUUAAUACCAGUUAUAUGAUAUAUAGAUCAUGGGAACAGUAUAUUUUAUUACCUGUGAUAUGAUAUACUAGUAUAGGAUUAUAUGCUAUAGAGGAAUGGAAAAUUUUAAUACCUGUUAGAUGAUAUAUAGGACAAUGGAAUGUUAUACAUAAUUUAUUUCAUUAAGGUGAGGACCAUUUACUUUUUAUAUUUUAGAUUUUCCUUCUUUUGAUUGUUUUAUAUUGUAAAGAUUGAAAAAAGUAAUAAAAAUUAAAUUAUGCAAAACGAUAAAUGUGUACAAGUUAAUACUAUUAGUCAGUAUUUACUCAAAGCGUUAAAGGGAUUCCACUGAGGAUUAUAUUUUCUUAAUUUCUUGACAUGAUAGGACGGGAGUUAUGUUGUUGAGGUUUCAUACUAUUUGAAGAAGAUAUAUUAUUUUUCAUGUAUAAAAUUUGUAUGCAAAAUUUCAGAUUAUUUGCUCACUUUGUUUUUCCAAAAUACUAGUAAUCAUUUUAGCUCGGCUAUUCAAUGAAUAGCUAAUGCUAUAAUAGUACUUACCGCAUUGGUGUCAAACUUAGGUUACUUUUAUGUGUGCAAGUUGGUAUCUAAAAAACUACUGAAUGAAAAUUUCAAUUGACAUUCUUGUUCUUUAACAUGACUAACACAAAUCCCAUACCACUGAUAUUUUUUUCCUCAUAUUUAUUCCCCUUUUACGACUUAAAAAAUCUUGGUUAAGUUUUAACGUAUAAGAGUGGAUUAGAACUUCACACACAUAUAUGAGAGUAAUAGGAAGUCUCUGUCCGAGCACAUAGAUAUUUGACAGAAUUAUUUCCCUUUUUGAAGUUAGAAAAUUCUGCAUUAUCCAUCACUGUGGAUAGUCAAGCACAAUGUCCUGUCGACAGUGUUUAAAUGUUUAUAGCUAAAGUCCGUCUGAAAAUUACACUUCAUUAAUAUCGAUUUUCAAUUUUAUUCCGAGUAUAUUUCUUUAGUAUCAUUUUUUCCCUUAUUGAAUAUCCCGAUUAAUCAGUUUUGGCUUUUCUAUUUUUAUUCUUUAUUGUUUGACCUCAGUGGAGCUCCUUUAAGUUGUUUAUGUUAGAAUGAUAAUUUUAAACACUAGGCAAGUAUAGAUUUACCUUGCUGUAAAUUCAUAUGUACUAGUAUAUACUGUAACUACAUAGACAGUAUAACAUAAUUUUUAAUCAAAACAUGUUAUACACCAUAGAUGUAAAUAAUUAUGAAUUUUAGCUCGCCUCACCUGUCACAAAGUGACAUAGUGAGCUAUUGUGAUCACUUUUUGACCGGCGUCCGUCCGGCGUAAUAUUUUACUUUAAACGACAUCUCCUCAUAAACCGCUAAGCCAGUUUCAUUAAAACUUCACAAGAAUGUUCCUUUGGUAGUCAACUUAAAAAUUCUUCAAAAAAUUUAAUUCCAUACAGAACUCAUGGCAACCUAAAGAAAAAACAUAAACAUUUUCUUAUAGAAAAACUGAAAGAGCUAGAGCAUGAAACAUUGUCUAGUCAGUGUCUACCAAGUUUAUUCAAAUAAAUUCCCAGGGGUCAAAAAUAGGGGGGGGGGGGGUCAUUGAUUUUCCUUAUACAUACCAGUUCUCAGCUGCCCCUUGGGGAUAUAUACAAGUUCUCAGCUGCCCCUUGGGGAUAUAUACCAGUUCUCAGCUGCCCCUUGGGGAGAUAUACCAUUUCUCAGCUGUCCCUCAGGGAUAUAUACCAAUUCUCAGCUGUCCCUCAGGGAUAUAUACCAGUUCUCAGCUGUCCCUUGGGGAUAUAUACCAGUUCUCAGCUGUCCCUUGGGGAUAUAUACCAUUUCUCAGCUGUCCCUCAGGGAUAUAUACCAGUUCUCAGCUGCCCCUUAGGGAUAUAUACCAGUUCUCAGCUGUCCCUUGGGGAUAUAUACCAGUUCUCAGCUGCCCCUUUGGGAUAUGUUCAAGUUCACAGCUGUCCCUCAGGGAUAUAUACCAGUUCUCAGCUGUCCCUUAGGGAUAUAUACCAGUUCUCAGCUGCCCCUUGGGGAUAUAUACCAGUUCUCAGCUGUCCCAUGGGGAUAUAUACCAGUUCUCAGCUGUCCCUUAGGGAUAUAUACCAGUUCUCAGCUGCCCCUUGGGGAUAUGUUCACAGGUGUCCCUUAGGAAUAUAUACAAGUUCACAGGUGCCCCACGAGGAUACAAAGAAGUUCUCAGCUACCCCUCGGAUAAGUUCUCGGCAUAAGUCAGUUCUCAGGGAUAUAUACCUGUUCUUGACUGCCCCUUGGGGGAUAUAUAUAAAUUCUCGGUUACCCCCAGUGGGGGGAAUGUAUUCCAGUUUUCAUCAUAAGUCAGUUCUCAGUUGCCCCUCAUGGAUAUAUAUACAAGUCUCAGCUAUACCUGAGGGAUAUAUACCAGCUCUUGGAUGCCAAUAUGCUCUCUCACACAGACAGCCAUGUUUUAUAUGUUUAUAUGCUAUUAAAUGUUUAUUAUACCCCCGCACAACAAAGUUGUAAGGGGGGUAUACUGGAAUCAGCUUGUCCGUCCGGCCGUCCGUCCGGCCGUCCGUCCGUCCGAGCCAACAUUUGAUUAUUAUGAGCUUCAUUCCGUAGUUAAAUAAAGAACAUAAACUCAUAAAAUUUAAAAUUAAGAGCUAUUUUUUGUUUUUAUGAGCUUAUUUUGCUUAUGGACGUUGGUCCAGGUGGUGUUUAUGAGCUCAUUUGCCUCAUAAACAUCAAAUUUUGGUAUGUCCGUCCGUCCGGCCGUCCGUCCGGCCGUCCGUCGGUUUUUUCUUGUCCGCCCAAUAACUUAAGAUUCCUUUGACCCUUAGUCUUCAUAUUUGGCAUGGAGGUUAGUCAUGAUUAGUAGAUGACCCCUAUUGAUUUUGAGGUCACUAGGUCAAAGGUCAAGGUCACAGGGGCCUUGACUUCAAAAAGCUUGUCCGCCAAAUAACUUAAGAUUCCUUUGACCUACAGUCGUCAUAUUUGGCAUGGAGGUUAGUCAUGAUUAGUAGAUGACCCCUUAUUGAUUUUGAGGUCACUAGGUCAAAGGUCAAGGUCACAGGGGCCUUGACUUCAAAAAGCUUGUCCGACCAAUAACUUAAGAUUCCUUUGACCCACAGUCUUCAUAUUUGGCAUGGAGGUUAGUCAUGAUCAGUAGAUGACCCCUAUUGACUUUGAGGUCACCAGGUCAAAGGUCAAGGUCACAGGGGCCUUGACUUCAAAAAGCUUGUCCGCCCUAUAACUUAAGAUUCCUUUGACCCAUAGUCUUCAUAUUUGGCAUGGAGGUUAGUCAUGAUUAGUAGAUGACCCCUAUUGAUUUUGAGGUCACCAGGUCAAAGGUCAAGGUCACAGGGGCCUCGACUCCAAAAAGCUUGUCCGCCCAAUAACUUAAGAUUCCUUUGACCCACAGUCUUCAUAUUUGGAAUGGAGGUUAGUCAUGAUUAGUAGAUGACCCCUAUUGAUUUUGAGGUCACCAGGUCAAAGGUCAAGGUCACAGGGGCCUUGACUUCAAAAAGCUUGUCCGCCCAAUAACUUAAGAUUUCUUUGACCCACAGUCUUCAUAUUUGGAAUGGAGGUUAGUCAUGAUUAGUAGAUGACCCCUAUUGAUUUUAAGGUCACCAGGUCAAAGGUCAAGGUCACUGGGACUUUGACUUCAAAAAGUUUGUCCACCCAUUUAUGACCCACAGUCUUCAUAUUUGGCAUGGAUGUUGAUCAUGACUAUAAGGUGACGCCUAUUGAUUUUGAGGUCACUGGGUCAAAGGUCACAGGGACCUUGACAAAAAAAAGCUUUUCUUCUUAAUUGUUAAAGAAUGUCCUGUCCGCAAUGUAUUGAUUUUGACAUUUUCACAUUUGAAGCAUGUAGAAUACAUAACUUAGCAAUGCACUGGCUUAGUAACCUCAGAUUUGGCAGGGAGGUUGUCCUUGAGCUGUAAAUGGCCACUGUUGAUUCUGACAAAGUGGUAUGCGGGGGUAUUCACGCCAUGAUAGUGGCAGUUCUAGUUUUCAUAGAUAAUUUCUGUAACGGUUGAAUUAGAAUUUUUAAUUAAACAAUUUGUCAUAUUUUAGUACCAAGAAAUUAUAACAUUAUAAUUAUGUAUAGAUAAGUUAUAUUUCUGCUGAUGUUAACAUAAUUUUGAUAUGUUAGUUUACAUGUAUUGUAAAACAUAUGUUACAUGAAAUUACCCAAACUGUAUGUUGAAAUCUUGUUUUUUAAAAUGCAUCCAGGGUAACCUAGUAUGCAUACUCGUUGUGUAUACACUUCAUUCGUGAUGAAUGUAGUUCAGUCAAAUCUGUAUGUAUGGGUUCGGACGAUGCUAAAAUGUAGUUUUAUGCUUUCAGACAGUAAUGAUAUAACUACAUCUUAUUAAAGGUAUGUCAGCUUUUUUUUUGCUUGCUGAUGUUUAGUAUAUACCAAGAUUAAGAUAUGUUAUAUAUAAACAUAUUUUACACAUGUCUGUUUGUUACAUGAAAUUCUGAUUGAAUGUAUAUAGUACAUAAUAUUACAUGCCAAAGGGACUCCACUGAGAAUUCUUGACAUGCCGGGACUGGAAAUAAUUUUUUUGAGAUUAUUACUCCAUUUGAUGUAGAUCUAUACUAAUAACCUAUAAGCAAAAUUUCAGAUCAUUAGCUCGCUCCCUUUUUCCAGAAUUAUUAUUAUAAUAGUGAAAAAUGACCCAAAAUUGAAAAAUGUUCAAACGCUUUUCAAUCAAAUCGGACUGAGAAUAGCACAAACAUACAAUUUUUAAUGUAUUUCUUGUAUAUUUCUUAGUUAUAUUUAAUUUAUAUUUCUGUUUAAAGUACUCAUGUUUAUUUAUGUGAAAAUUAGAAUGUUAUGUUUUGAGGCUGAUAAACCUCAGUGGAGUUUCUUUAAUAUUGUUAAUUGUAUAAUCACAAGCUAUUGCAAUCCUUUUAUGAAAAUAAGAUUAUAUUAUUUUAUAACAAGUUAUGUUAUGUGACAUGACACUAUACAUACAUUUUAAAUUGUUGUACCUAUUUGUUUUAAAGGCCCAUUAAGCCUUAAAAAUGCAAUCACUUAUAUUUUUCAAAAGCUUUCCGAAUUUGUUAUCCAAAGAAUUUCUCAUUAUCAGAGCCAUUUGUUGUUGUCUUUGCAGUACAGUACAGUUAUGAUGAAUAAGUAUUUAAUAUGGGUGUUAAAUAACCAUUUUGUUGACAUUUUGCUACACAAAUCAUAAUUAUUUUCUUUUCAAACUCAUUUUUUUGCCACGCGAUAAGAAUAUCACUUGUUGUAAAUCUAUUAUUACAACAUUAUAAAACACAUAUUUGCCCUUUUUUACAAAAAAAAAAUAAAUAAAAAUAUAUUCAUUUCUGAGGCGUAAUGUGCCUUUAAACUUUAAAUGUAUAUGAUAGGGUAAAUUAAUUCAUUUAUAUAGUAUCAUAGUUAAUGGGGCUGUGCAUUGCCAUUUUUUUCUGUCACGAUACAUAUCACAAUACUUGUAUUUCCAAACGAUGCGAUUCACGAUAUGUAUUGCAUACUUUGAUAAAAUCCGAUGCAUAUUGCUAUUUUUAUGUUUCGAUGCAAUACGUAUCACAAUACUGACUUUCAGACUUUAUCUAUAUAAAAAACCUGGUCAUUUAUUCACAGCAUAAUAUUAACGAAUGUUAUAUAAAACUUUUACAAUAACAAAACAAUAAAAUCUACAACUUGUUAUUAUAACUUAUUUUCAAGUUUUGAUCUUUCAACAAUUUACAUUACUUAUUACUUAAGGAUUUUUAUUUUUUACUAAAGGAUUAAAGGUAUUUUUCAUUAUACCAUAACUAUUAGUGUAUUGCGCUACUUUGCCGCUAUAUCGAUGAAUUGGGUGGUAAAAUAUGUAUUGCAUCCUGAUAUAUUGGAAUUUAUAAAUUCAUUACGAUGCAUACAUCGAGGACAGGGCAGAUCGCGAUGUAUCGAUGCAUCGAUGAAUCGUUACACCUCUAAUAGUUAACAUAAUUAUGAUAACAUGAAAAUCAUGUUAUGAAUUGUUUACUAGGUAUGAUAACAUGAAAAUCAUGUUAUGAAUUGUUUACUAGGUAUGAUAACAUGAAAAUCAUGUUAUGAAUUGUUUACUAGGUAUGAUAACAUGAAAAUCAUGUUGUGAAUUGUUUACUAGGUAUGAUAACAUGAAAAUUAUGUUAUAAAUUGUUUACUAGGUAUUUUAAUUUAUGUGUAUUUUAUGCUUAUAUUUGUAAUCCUCAUGAUGACAAAACUAUAUUGGCCAUGUUUAUACUUAAACAAUUCUGUAUGAAGUUAAGAUAAGUUCAUGCUGGAAUAUGUCAAUUGUACAUAUACAUAUAUAUUAAACAUGACUGUUUAAAACUUGAAAUGUUUAUGGAAGACAUUAUUCAGCUAUUUUGUUAGCAUCAAUAAAACUUGUCUUAGAGAACUAAACUUUUCGAAACAAUUUUAUUCAUUUUAUAUAGCACUUUUUAAGUUUAUUAUAAGUAGCUGGUUUUAUUGAAAAAUUAUAAGAGGAUAUCAGGCAGUGGUUGACCAACAUUUUGUAUAAUAAAUAACAUGUCUAGAACAUUAUGUAUUUUAUAAGGUUAAAAAAAUUAAAUUCAGUAUGGAUGCACCAGAUCCAUAUUUAUUGAAUUUAUCCAACAAUGGUGACAUGUAUAUCAGCAUAGAGAAAGGUCAACAAAGUGUAGGCAAUAUAUAACAUUUAGAUCUGUCAUAGAACCUUUAUGAGAGCAUUGUUAUUCUGCUGGUUUUGUUAUUAUUGAAAUACUUUAAGAAAUUAAAAUAUAUUUGUUUGAUAGGUUAGCAUAUAUGUAUGACUUGUAUAAU